GGUAGCCGACCUGAGAGGGUGACCGGCCACACUGGGACUGAGACACGGCCCAGACUCCUACGGGAGGCAGCAGUGGGGAAUAUUGCACAAUGGGCGGAAGCCUGAUGCAGCGACGCCGCGUGAGGGAUGAAGGCCUUCGGGUUGUAAACCUCUUUCAGCAGGGACGAAGCGUGAGUGACGGUACCUGCAGAAGAAGCACCGGCUAACUACGUGCCAGCAGCCGCGGUAAUACGUAGGGUGCGAGCGUUGNCCGGAAUUACUGGGCGUAAAGAGUUCGUAGGCGGUUUGUCGCGUCGUUUGUGAAAACCCGGGGCUCAACUUCGGGCUUGCAGGCGAUACGGGCAGACUUGAGUGUUUCAGGGGAGACUGGAAUUCC
rnacentral:rRNA from 1 species